rnacentral:rRNA from 1 species
AUUGAACGCUGGCGGCAGGCUUAACACAUGCAAGUCGAACGAGUGGCGGACGGAUGUGUAACGCUUGGGAAUCUAGCUUAUGGAGGGGGAUAACUAUGGGAAACUGGAGCUAAUACCGCGUACUAUAGGAUGAGCCCAAGUGGGAUUAGGUAGUUGGUGAGGUAAAGGCUCACGAAGCCGACGAUCUCUAGCUGGUCUGAGAGGAUGACCAGCCAGACUGGGACUGAGACACGGACCAGACUCCUAGGGGAGGCAGCAGUGGGGAAUGUUGCGAAAUGGGGGAAACGUGACGCAGCCAUGCCGCGUGAAUGAAGAAGGCCUUCGGGUUUUAAAGUUCUUUCGGUAGCGAGGCGUUAACUACAGAAGAAGCACCGGCUAACUCCGUGCCAGCCGCCGCGGUAAUAC